AUACGGAGGGUGCAAGCGUUACUCGGAAUCACUGGGCGUAAAGCGCGCGCAGGCGGUCUUUUAAGUUGGAUGUGAAAGCCUACGGCUCAACCGUAGAACUGCAUCCAAAACUAUUAGACUAGAGUGUGGGAGAGGAAGAUGGAAUUAGUUGUGUAGGGGUAAAAUCCGUAGAGAUAACUAGGAAUACCAAAAGCGAAGGCAAUCUUCUGGAACACUACUGACGCUGAGGCGCGAAAGCGUGGGGAGCAAACAGGAUUAGAUACCCUAGUAGACC
rnacentral:rRNA from 1 species